rnacentral:rRNA from 1 species
AGUGAACGCUGGCGGUAGGCCUAACACAUGCAAGUCGAACGGCAGCACAGUAAGAGCUUGCUCUUACGGGUGGCGAGUGGCGGACGGGUGAGGAAUACAUCGGAAUCUACUUUUUCGUGGGGGAUAACGUAGGGAAACUUACGCUAAUACCGCAUACGACCUACGGGUGAAAGCAGGGGAUCUUCGGACCUUGCGCGAUUGAAUGAGCCGAUGUCGGAUUAGCUAGUUGGCGGGGUAAAGGCCCACCAAGGCGACGAUCCGUAGCUGGUCUGAGAGGAUGGUCAGCCACACUGGAACUGAGACACGGUCCAGACUCCUACGGGAGGCAGCAGCGGGGAAUAUUGGACAAUGGGCGCAAGCCUGAUCCAGCCAUACCGCGUGGGUGAAGAAGGCCUCGGGUUGUAAAGCCCUUUUGUUGGGAAAGAAAAGCAGCAGGUUAAUACCCCGCUGUUCUGACGGUACCCAAAGAAUAAGCACCGGCUAACUUCGUG